GACGAACGCUGGCGGCGUGCUUAACACAUGCAAGUCGAACGGAAAGGCCCUGCUUUUGUGGGGUGCUCGAGUGGCGAACGGGUGAGUAACACGUGAGUAACCUGCCCUUGACUUUGGGAUAACUUCAGGAAACUGGGACUAAUACCGGAUAGGAGCUCCUGCUGCAUGGUGGGGGUUGGAAAGUUUCGGCGGUUGGGGAUGGACUCGCGGCUUAUCAGCUUGUUGGUGGGGUAGUGGCUUACCAAGGCUUUGACGGGUAGCCGGCCUGAGAGGGUGACCGGCCACAUUGGGACUGAGAUACGGCCCAGACUCCUACGGGAGGCAGCAGUGGGGAAUAUUGCACAAUGGGCGGAAGCCUGAUGCAGCAACGCCGCGUGCGGGAUGACGGCCUUCGGGUUGUAAACCGCUUUCGCCUGUGACGAAGCGUGAGUGACGGUAAUGGGUAAAGAAGCACCGGCUAACUACGUG
rnacentral:rRNA from 1 species